GGUGCAUAAAGUAAUGCUGGCCCAGAAUUCCCCAACCCACUGCUGUCAGAGCAGCCCUCCAUCCUUGUUGUGCUGCUGCAGUGAUAAUAAGCGAUAGAUCAACAGUUGAGAAUCUGACCUCAGAACUAAGAAGGAAGCGUGCUCUUAGAAACACAGGAAAUGGAGAAAGAAGGAUCCGUUUUUCUCUGAUACCCUGGUGUAAAUAUGGAGUAAUUCCAUGACUUUGGAGUUACUCCUGGCUUCCACCUGUGUAAAUGGGAACCAGGCCCUUUACGUCUAUAGAAACAUAGACUGAACGGUAAAAAUAAAUAUGACCCAAUGACUAGAGAGACACUGAUGUGGUGUAAAUAGUGCCACCUUUCACACAAAAGCUAAAAUUACUCGUUGCAAAGCUUAUCUUUUCCCUUUGUUAAGGCUGUUGUGGGGAUGGGCUGAGGUGGGUGUAUUUUGGGGCAGUCCUUUAUUGAUGUCUGUGUGACUUUAGUUUAUGGCGUAGGUGCCCAGAUCACUGGAUAUGAGCCUGUAUAGUAUUUUUAAAAUGGAAUCAAUUCUCUGCACUCGGUCAUUUAACUCUGAAACUUCCUUUGAGGCUGCCAGCCAGGCUACUAUGGCUCAGAUUGUCAAGCCACUUGCCAUCCAUGCACCAGUGGUUUUCCUUGCAGUGGUGUUACUGGACAUUGCGUAGGCACUGCCAGAGUCCCUUGCAGCUUACAGUCUCAGGAUCCACGGUGCUCUCCUAGCGAAGUUUCCAGGCAGUUGUGCCCCCAGAGGCCUCGAUGGCAUUAUUUUCUAAAGGCGUGUUACUAUGUGGAAGAUACUCAAACUAAAACGUGGAGUGAGGCCAGGCGGGCGUGUCAGGGCUUUAAGGAGACAGACCUCGCUAAAAUUACAAACAGUGCAGAAAAGGCUUGGAUACAGUUUAAAGGGGAGAACAGCUGGAUAGGUUUGACCUAUAAGAAAGAAGACUUCAGAUAUGUGUGGGUCGAUGGCACAUCUGCUCGGGCUGAAAGUGCAUGGGUCAUGAAACGUAACAGGAGGCAUACACUCACUAAAGAAGAUUGUGUGGUUGCCUUCAAGCAAUACCUUUCCCCAGCAGAUUGUUCUUCUCUGAGAAAGUGGAUAUGCAAAAGAGAAGGAGAUGUCAACCUCUUUACAACGCACCAGGGGAGAGCUUUGUACUCCCCUUACGUACCAACAUCAAAUAUAUAUAACACCUUAAAGAAAGCUACAGAUACCUGCUCAGUGCUCCAGACAUGCACUGGGAUAGUGGCAAUGGGGGAGCACUACAUUCUACAAAGUGGGAUGGAACUGUAUAACAGCAGGAAUAGUAGUGUGCAAUCCUUUAUCAAGUCAGAUUGCAUCUCUGGAAGAUUUGGGCUUCUGUGCGAAUUUAAGUGUCCACCAUGCCAGCAGGGUCUGGCCUGCAAUCCAUACACAGGGCUGUGUGGUGACAGUGUGUUUUGCAGUAAGGAGAACAGUCCUAUCCCCUGUGGAAAAGGGUCCAUAUUUGGUGGCACGUGCCCAGUUGAAGAUGGGUGGCAGUACUGGCAAGGCAGCUGUUACUAUAUUCACACAGCAAAGAGACAAACCUGGCUACGUGCAAGAGACCUAUGCAGGCGUUACAGGGACACAGAUCUUCUGUGGCUGACAAGUCCUGGGGAAAAGGAAUGGCUGGUAUCUAAACUUCCCAAAGCAUCAUUCUGGACUGGCCUUUAUGGGUUUAGAUUCUGUACAGUUUUGCAGUGGUCGAACAGUCAAUUCCCGUUUGCAGCCUCAAGAUGGUUGUCUGUAAGCAAGUGGGCCGUAGGUGUUAAGUGCUGUGUGCAGCUUAAUGCUCCCAAAGGCUCUUUGACAGCUGUCAGCUGCUUUCGGAAAGCCCUGUGGAUUUGCAAGAGAAAAGAAGAAGGAAUUGUGGAUUUCCGGGAGUUCCGAGGCUAUUACCUGGCUGGCACUUACACAUCAAAUUCCACACAGCAGUCGUUAUGGGAAGGCCUACAGCUCUGUAGAUUUCAACGAAGCAUUUGCAAUGGAGUUGAGAUGAUCAAAGGAGAGUACAGAACUAUAUUUGCAACCCGAAUUCUACUCAUCAUUGGAGCCCUUGGAGAUAAAAGCACCGCAUAUUUGAAAUCACCUUGUCCCCCAGAGCACUAUGGUCCUGAAUGCCAGGGCAGUUGCACCUGCAAUAGAAUUGAAAACUGCAGCCCCUUCACUGGAGAAUGUGCAGAGAAUUUACAGUGUUCUCAGGAAAAUGUGGCACAGCAAUGCCAAAAAGGAGUGAUCAAUAUGAAAUGCCCAGAGGACCCUGGGUGGUGGUACUGGAAUGGCAGCUGUUAUUAUAUGGAAGAAACUAAUAGUUUGACCUGGCUGGAAGCUAAGAAUUACUGCACUGCCUAUAAUGGCACUGACCUACUAUUGCUGGAUAGUGCAGAAGAAAAGGCCUGGGUAACCUCUGCGUUACAGAAACCUGUUUGGAUUUUCUCGUUGGGUGCCUUGCAAAGUGAUGUGGAGAAAUCAAGCAGGAAGAAUCAACGUGUCAUGGUAAGCCCCACCAAGAGUACUGCUCCAGACAGUUGUGAUCAGCUGAAUGUAAAUGGGAGCUUGAACCAAGUUAACUGUUCUUCUCUGGCUUUCUGGGUUUGUGAAAGAAGGGAAGGUGACAGCAUGUUUUGGAAAUAUUCCCGAAGGCUGCUCACUAAGCCUUUAGGGGGAGAUACAUAUUCAUCCUUGGAGUUUGCUCUGUCAGCCUGUAUUUUAAAAGCAGAUUGCUCUGGAGUCACCUACUGGGGAAAGCGUUACAUACCAGUCACUGGUAAAGAACUGAUCUUCAGCAAAAACAGACAGGAUGCUGUGUACCUGAGGAGUGCUUGCAGCAAAGGACAUUAUGGUGCCUAUUGUCAAAAGAAAUGCCCCACCUGUCUCAAUCAUACCGUAUGCAAUAGACUCACAGGGCUGUGUGAUGGUACAGUGACAUGUCAAGAAAGGAAGAAAUUAGAACUCUGUGAAUACCGCCUUACAAGCAAGUUCUGUUUUGCCUCUUGGAAGUACUGGAAUGGAAAUUGUUACUAUGUUCCUCCAUAUGGGGUGCUGAAUAAGAGCGAAGCAGAGUUCAUGUGCAGUCGGUUCCAAGGGGCACAACUGAUAAAAUUAAACAACACAGAAGAACAGAGAUGGAUAGCUAAAGUCAUCACUAGAAAAAGCUGGCUUGGCAGCCUGAGCUAUAAACUCCAGUCAAACUCCUGGAUCAUGCCUGAUGGAGAUAGAGCAGCGCCUCGUUGGGGUUUCAAAGCAGUUCAAGAUUUGUGUGUGCAGAUUGAACCCGUAUCUGGAACCUUCAUUUCCUUUGCCUGCUCUGAACGGGCUUCGUGGAUCUGCAAGGGAGCCCCAGGGGGCACCAGAGAUCUCCAGAAAGGCUUCAACAUUGCUCCUUCUGCCUUUGAAUUUUUUGAAAUAAGGGCAGAUGUCUCAAAGUGUGGAAGCUGCAAAGGAAGAAUGCUAAAGGAACAACGGCUCAGGAUCAGACGCAAAGGUUCUACACAUAGCAAGUUCUACAGAUCUUCUGAGAGAGCACGAGAUGGUAAUGCUAACUUCAGCGCUAUGCAUCCCAGGCUGGUGAUGUAACCGCACGAGAGACCUUUGGGCAAACUUCACCAUGGGCGCAAACACCUCCAGCAAGCCACCGGUCUUCGAUGAAAAUGAAGAGGUGACCUUUGACCACUUUGAAAUUUUGCGAGCCAUUGGGAAAGGCAGCUUUGGAAAG